rnacentral:rRNA from 1 species
CGAACGGGUGAGUAACGCGUGAGGAACCUGCCUCAUACAGGGGGAUAACAGUUAGAAAUGACUGCUAAUACCGCAUAAGACCACAGCACCGCAUGGUGCGGGGGUAAAAACUCCGGUGGUAUGAGAUGGACCCGCGUCUGAUUAGCUAGUUGGUAAGGUAACGGCUUACCAAGGCGACGAUCAGUAGCCGACCUGAGAGGGUGACCGGCCACAUUGGGACUGAGACACGGCCCAA